rnacentral:rRNA from 1 species
CAGUCGCCGCGGUAAUACGAAGGGGGCUAGCGUUGCUCGGAAUGACUGGGCGUAAAGGGCGCGUAGGCGGCGGCCAAAGUCAGGCGUGAAAUUCCCGGGCUCAACCUGGGGGCUGCGUUUGAUACUUGGUUGCUUGAGUGGGGAAGAGGGUCGUGGAAUUCCCAGUGUAGAAGUGAAAUUCGUAGAUAUUGGGAAGAACACCGGUGGCGAAGGCGGCGACCUGGUCCUUUACUGACGCUGAGGCGCGAAAGCGUGGGGAGCAAACAGGAUUAGAGACCCCUGUAGUCCCUGUCUCUUAUAC